CCUACGUGCGGCAGCAGUGGGGGAUAUUGCACAAUGGGGGGAACCCUGAUGCAGCGCCGCCGCGUGGGUGAAGAAGCGCCUCGGCGCGUAAAGCCCUUUCAGCAGGGAAGAAAAUGACGGUACCUGAGGAAGAAGCCCCGGCUAACUACGUGCCAGCAGCCGCGGUAAUACGUAGGGGGCACGCGUUAUCCGGAUUUACUGGGUGUAAAGGGGGCGCAGACGGCGAUGCAAGCCAGGAGUGAAAGCCCGGGGGCCAACCCCGGGACUGCUCUUGGCACUGCGUGGCUGGAGUGCAGGAGGGGCAGGCGGAAUUCCUGGUGUAGCGGUGAAAUGCGUAGAUAUCAGGAGGAACACCGGUGGCGAAGGCGGCCUGCUGGACUGCAACUGACGUUGAGGCCCGAAAGCGUGGGGAGCAAACAGGAUUAGAUACCCCGGUAGUC
rnacentral:rRNA from 1 species